CCCCUGAACGUAUGCAACACCUCAUCUGUCUCCAGCACACCGCUUGUGUUGGGGGGUCCUAGCCUCAGCAUGGGUCUGAGCCAUUUGCCCAAUAGUUAGUGGAGAUGUGAUGUAUUUUGGCCCAGACAAGCAGAAUAACCUCAAUAUAAGAGAAAUGAUGAUCUCAUAUGUAAGUAAAUCCAUUCUAAUAAUUGAACAGGACUCUAAGAGGGAAGCUUCAUGAUUCUCCUAAAGAAACAUUUUACAAAGAGCAAGUCUAAGGUUACUGUUGGAGAAUGACUAUUUGUGAAUAUGCCUGGCCCCAAACUAGGCCUGUACAUCACUGUUAGUUCAGAUUGGGGUUGUGCUGAAAAAUGAGGUAAGCAGGUACAGGUUGUAUAUAGGCUAAGGCCUGUGACUUGUGGACAAUGGGCCUCAUAAUUGCAUGCAGGUACCAAGCACUUGCUCCCUACUAGGCAUAUAUUUUACAUAUAUUAAUUCAUUUGUUGCUCAUCUUAGGUAGAUAACCGUUAAUGUCCUCAUUUUUCAGGUAAGGCAACAAGGCACAGAGAGGUGAGGCCACUUGCCUAUGUUCUUAUGACCAGAAAGUGGCAGAGGAUGUGCUCAGGAAGUCUGACUAGAACACACAGACUCUUUGUCACCAUAUGGUUGAGUGUUGAUGUGGUGAACAUGGACAGGCACUGAAAUGAGUUGUAAGUGACACACAGGCAGGUGCAGUCAAGGCCUUGGUUGUGAGGAGCUGAAACCCCAAGCAGAAAAGGGAAGGGAAAUAGAUUAUAAGGAGAGAAUGUCAUGAAUGUCUAGGGCAGGAAAAGCAGCUGAGCCAUGGGGCAACUGGAAUGGUCUUACUCUUUUAGCCCCUCUUGGAUCAUAGAUCGGAGCUCAUGAAGCAGAUUUCUGCUUCGCUUUCUGUGCCUGCGCAAGCCAGCUCUCUCAGCCUCCUCACUUCUGUCUGUGGAUUUCAGGAGAACUCACCGGAGCCCUGGUUUUGCAGACCUCUUAGUCCCAGAGUCUCCCUCCACCGACAGCCAACUCAAGUCAAUAGGGAGAACCCGAUCGGCUCCACCCAGCCAAUUGAUUGGCGUCUCUUGAGUCAGGUUGCAGAAGAAAAAAUUUCUCCCUCUGCCUAUGUCUCGACUCUUCUGUGA
rnacentral:lncRNA from 12 species